AACGAACGCUGGCGGCAUGCCUAAUACAUGCAAGUCGAACGCGAUGGGGCAACCCAUUGGGUGGCGGACGGGUGAGUAACGCGUGGGAACCUGCCCAUCGGUACGGAAUAACCUCGGGAAACUGAGGCUAAUACCGUAUGCGCCCCAUGAGGAGACUUUGUGGGGAAGAUUAUCGCCGUUGAGGGCCGCGUCGAUAGUAGUGGUGAGUAACGGCUCACCAAGCCUUCGAUCCGUAGCNGGUCUGAGAGGAUGAUCAGCCACACUGGGACUGAGACACGGCCCAG
rnacentral:rRNA from 1 species